CCCGCCUUGGCCUCCCAAAGUGCUGGGGUUUACGGGCAUGAGCCACUGUGCCCAGCUCUGGAUUUUAGAUUUAGGAUAUUCAACCUGUACCAUCUAGGUUUACACAAACCUAGUACAUUCUAGGAUAGUCACACAAGACCAAAAUUGGCCAGGUGCAGUGGCUCAUACCUGUAAUCCCAGCACUUUGGGAGGCCAAGGCAGGCAGAUCACCUGAGGUGAAUCAAUCUUUUAUUUUGGCAUGACAAUAUUUAUAGAUUUUUACUAUUUAAAAAAUGAAGUAGGCUGGGCGUGGUGGCUCAUGUCUGUAAUCCCAGCACUUUGGGAGGCUGAGGCGGGCAGAUCACUUGAGGUCAGGAGUUCAAGACCAGCCUGGCCAACAUGGUGAAACUCUGUCUCUACUAAAAAUACUUUAGCAAGGCAUGGUGGUGUGUGCCUGUAAUCCCAGCUACUCGGGAGGCUGAAGCAAAAUUGCUGGAGCCCAGGAGGCGGAAGUUGCAGUGAGUGGAGAUCGUGCUACUGCACUCCAGCCUGGGCAAAAGAAUGAGACUCCAUUUAAAAAAAAAAAAAAAAAUCACCUAGAGAUGUAUUUCUCAGAACAUAUCCCUGUCAUUAAAUGACAGAGGACCGUAGUUGUUUCCUAAAGGUUGGUUGUAAUAUGAAAGCUAAAAGCACAAAAAAUUGCAAUGUUUCAUUAAAAUCCAUUGGUCUACCUUGUACAUAGUUUUCAAAUGAAAAUUUUAUAUAUAUAUAUACAACAUUAAGAUUUUAUAAAAAUAACCAACAUGCUCUGGGCGUGGUAGCUCACAUCUGUAAUCCCAGGACUUUGGGAGGCCAAGGCCAAAGGAUUACUUGAGCCCAGGAGUUCAAGACCAGUCUGGACAACAGGGUAGAAUCUCAUGUCUCCAAAAAUGUAUGUAUUUUUAAAUUAUGUGCUCAGGGUUGGGCAAGAUGGCUCACGCCUGUAAUCCCACCACCUCGCAUUUCAGCUUUUGAAAGCACUUUCCAAAAUGCGUCCUUUUAAAGGUAGGAAACCAAAAAGAAACUGAGCUGUGAAGGUUUCAAAUUAGUUUUUUAAAAAAUAAAUGUUUAUUUCAAGUAUGAAAAGUAAUGUUUAAACGUUGUCCCAAAAUUGUGUUCAGUUUCACAAGUAUAAAAUAAGACUU
rnacentral:lncRNA from 10 species